rnacentral:misc_RNA from 1 species
AACGCAUCUUGCACUCUUUGGUUAGUCCAGAGAGUAUACCUGUUUGAGUAACAUUUUUACCGAUCACACAGUAACUUGUGUGGACAUGGGGCUUCAAAGCAAUGACGGCAGCAAUGCAGUCUGUUUUAGUCCUGAAAUGCAUGGUGAAAUGGGUGUUUAACCAACCUGUAUGUGUUAGGUAACAUCGUACACGUGUUGGCAUUCAAGUAGCCCCACAUUUGGAUCUCGUGUCCAUCUUAUUGACCAACGUGUUCUCAAAUCAGGUAAGACUACCCGCUGAACUUAA